UAAUCUCACUACCAUCGACUUUGGUCUUUUGGUAUGUGGACUUGGAUGCUGCCGUUCGAUCGACGGCUCGUCUGAAAUGCUUCAGUGUACCCCGCUUUGCGGCGUAUUCGGUGUGAUAAAUCUUCACCGGAGUUGAUCCUUUUGGGUCGCGUCUGUAACGGUGUGGCUCUAUGCUUCCAACCGUCUGCCAUGUGGACAAUCUCUGACA
rnacentral:misc_RNA from 1 species